rnacentral:rRNA from 1 species
UACGUAGGGUGCGAGCGUUAAUCGGAAUUACUGGGCGUAAAGCGUGCGCAGGCGGUUCGUUGUGUCGGCGGUGAAAGCCCCGGGCUUAACCUGGGAAUGGCCGUUGAAACUGGCGAACUGGAGUGUGGCAGAGGGGGGUGGAAUUCCGCGUGUAGCAGUGAAAUGCGUAGAGAUGCGGAGGAACACCGAUGGCGAAGGCAGCCCCCUGGGCUGACACUGACGCUCAGGCACGAAAGCUGGGGGAGCAAACAGG